AAGUCGUAACAAGGUUUCCGUAGGUGAACCUGCGGAAGGAUCAUUAACACGUAUCCAAACGUUAAAACCCCCCCCGUGAACCUUCAUCCUGCUCUUGUAACCCGCGUAGUUCGCAAUUCUACGAUUCCUGUAGACCGUACACUCGGGCAGGAGCUUUGCCAAAGGGUGCCCAUGCCCCCUAAUAACCCCACAGUUUAAUGUGAAGCUCAAUGUAAUACAUUGGGUAAAAAACCGAACAACUGUUAACAAUGGAUAUCUUGGUUCUC
rnacentral:misc_RNA from 1 species